UGGGGCACGUCAGCUUCUCCUCCCCGUACAGGUGUGCAGCUGGGAUAACCGAUGAUUAAUGCAUGUGUCUGGCUGGGCCUUCAGGGUAAUUUGAUUUGCUUGAUAUCCAGAGUGAUCACCCCUCUUUCCUUCCUCCCCACCUUCUUUUUUUUUUUUCCCCUGAGUUUGUGGCAGUGUUUACCUUAGUUGGUGUUUUCAGUUGAUGAAUGACACUUGUUUCUGGCCUCCGUUUCCGCCCAAGUUGUAAUUAGAUUUUGCACGAGGCUCCUGUGAUUACGGACCUGGGCCUUCCUCCCUCAUCGGACCUCUCAAAAGUUACUCGGCUUUCCGAACUUUCCCCAGUUUUCCUUCCUGUCGUCCUCACCAGCAAACCCCGGUGCCGAUGGGCCGGCAGGAGGCCCCCGUCACCUCUGGGGGUUUAGGGUUUGUGCUGGCAAAAGCCACAUCCUGCUCCUGAUGGAAUCCAUUAGGCUGGAGGGACGAAUGGCUUCGCAGAGAGAUGCGCUGAUCUGCCGGAGGGGAGCCGUGCUCUGCCCCAGAGCUCUGCGGAGGAGGAAGCAGCCUGGGUGCCUUGGAACUGAAAGAAUGCCCACGCAGCCGAGACAGCACCGCCAGUGAAUUCACGGUCCGGGAAAUAGAUGAACUGCACCGACCCAGAAAACUCGCAAGGAAGAGAUUCGGAAGUGGAAGAGGGAGAAACAUUGGUCCUUAAGAAACUGCUAAGAGAAAUUUGAG